CCCUGCCCUUUGUACACACCGCCCGUCGCUACUACCGAUUGAAUGGCUUAGUGAGACCUUCGGAUUCGCGAUCGGCGCCAGCAAUGGCACUGAUUCCUGCUUAGAAGUUGGUCAAACUUGGUCAUUUA
rnacentral:rRNA from 1 species